GACGAACGCUGGCGGCGUGCUUAACACAUGCAAGUCGAGCGGUAAGGCCCUUUCGGGGUACGACGAGCGGCGAACGGGUGAGUAACACGUGGGUGACCUGCCCUCAGCUCUGGGAUAAGCCCGGGAAACUGGUCUAAUACCGGAUAUGACUCCAUAACGCAUGUUGUGGGUGGAAAGCCUUGUGCGGCUAGGGAUGGGCCCGCGGCCUAUCAGCUUGUUGGUGGGGUGAUGGCCUACCAAGGCGACGACGGGUAGCCGGCCUGAGAGGGCGACCGGCCACACUGGGACUGAGACACGGCCCAGACUCCUACGGGAGGCAGCAGUGGGGAAGUCUUGCGCAAUGGGCGAAAGCCUGACGCAGCGACGCCGCGUGGGGAUGACGGCCUC
rnacentral:rRNA from 1 species